UUUCACAAUUUUUAUAAUCUACAUGAGAAGCCACAAUGGGCGUUUCUUCUUGAAACUUAUGAAAGGUGGCAACCCCAGUUACACACUCCAUGUUAUAGAAUAUCAGUUAGCAUCUAUGAUGGAUCAAUAGUGUGAUUCUGUUGUGUUCAUUGCAGCUCGGCUGCUUGCUUUUAACAUGGGUUUAAUUCACCACUUCAUGAUAAUUUUACUCUUUCACCAGAGUCAUCUGGCGGGCUGAUGAGUUUAAACUUAAAUGGCUUUGUGUUCUUUGUUAUUGUGUUUAACAUUGCUUUGUCACUGUUGAUUAUUCAGGCCUGUGCAUGAGGGGACAGAAACCAGGAGCUCCAAAAUUAACCUGAAUUGGAGCUUGUCUGAACUGAACAACUUUGUGUGUCAAAGCUACCCACACAUCAGCCUAAAUCUGGUUGGCUUUGAACUGGCAAGAGCUGGAAAAGGACGAAAGGAAACCUGUCAACCUCAGCAAUGUCCAGGAGUUUGUUUGCAGAACCCUCAACUGCACCAGAAGUACAGGACGUCUCUCCAGAGGUUGAGAGAGUGCCAACAGACAACAUUUGGAGGAAGAGCAGAUUGGCGAUCUCUGUGGUCCCAGCAAGACGAAGAGUAUGAAGAGUCUUUUUUAGCAGACCAAGAAAAUAAGGAGAAUUGCAGUCCCAUUACCCUUGGAAUGAUACUGGAGUUUGCUUCUGGAGCAUCCACGGUACCUCCACUGGGCUUUCCCCAUCGUCCACAAAUUGAAUUCCUCCAUGAGGCUAACAGAGUCUUCCCAGAAGCAAAUACUUGCCUGAUAGUACUCUGCCUUCCUGUACACCCAGACUAUGAGUCUUUCACAAAGUACAUGACAGACGGGGUGCUGCAGGGACCUACCUUUGGUGUUGCAUAAUCAGCUAAUAACUGUAAUAAGCAUUUCUUUUAAAAUAGAGUUGGAAUGUUUUGAAAAGUUAAGUAUUUUAAAGCAAGUUAUAGUAAAGGUAAUGUAAUGGCCGAAAUAUUGGAAUGUAAAUACAAUAUUGGCUUCUCUUGUUUUUUGCAAAGAAUAGGAGUCUUUUUAACCACUUUUUGGUUUCACAAUUUAAAGGUGUACAUUUAAGCCACACUGCAAAUCAAAAGGUCUCUGGUAAUGAACACUGCUCAAUUGCUCUCCAGAAUGUGUAAUUAAUUUGUCAUAUCUUUAAACACCUUAACAUUUAUAAUUAAAUCUGAAAGGUUACCUACUCAUGUCAAUUCCGAGUUUUAUUUGUAGUAAUUGUAUCUUUAGAACAAUGCAUUUGAUCAAAUGUUCUGUGACAUGUAUUUAAAUCAAUAAAGCAUUUGCAGUUUCUGCACAACAGGCCUGGUA